rnacentral:rRNA from 1 species
GUGAUAUAUGGGUUAGUGGCGGACGGGUGAGUAACGCGUGGGUAACCUGCCUUACACAGGGGGAUAACACUUAGAAAUAGGUGCUAAAACCGCAUAAGCGCACAGCUUCGCAUGAAGCGGUGUGAAAAACUCCGGUGGUGUAAGAUGGACCCGCGUCUGAUUAGCUUGUUGGCGGGGUAACGGCCCACCAAGGCGACGAUCAGUAGCCGGCCUGAGAGGGCGGACGGCCACAUUGGGACUGAGACACGGCCCAGACUCCUACGGGAGGCAGCAGUGGGGAAUAUUGCACAAUGGGGGAAACCCUGAUGCAGCGACGCCGCGUGAGUGAAGAAGUAAUUCGUUACGUAAAGCUCUAUCAGCAGGGAAGAAACACUGACCUUACGGUCAGCAGACGGUACCUGAGUAAGAAGCCCCGGCUAACUACGUGCCAGCAGCCGCGGUAAUACGUAGGGGGCAAGCGUUAUCCGGAUUUACUGGGUGUAAAGGGAGCGUAGACGGUGCGCCAAGUCUGGAGUGAAAUGCCGCAGCUUAACUGCGGAACUGCUUUGGAAACUGGCGAACUAGAGUGCGGGAGGGGUAAGCGGAAUUCCUAGUGUAGCGGUGAAAUGCGUAGAUAUUAGGAGGAACACCGGUGGCGAAGGCGGCUUACUGGACCGUAACUGACGUUGAGGCUCGAAAGCGUGGGGAGCAAACAGGAUUGGAUACCCUGGUAGUCCACGCCGUAAACGAUGAUUACUAGGUGUCGGGGACCCAAGGGUCUCCGGUGCCGCCGCAAACGCAUUAAGUAAUCCACCUGGGGAGUACGUCCGCAAG